GCGUGAGUGAAGAAGGUUUCGGAUCGUAAACUCUGUUGUUAGGAAGAACAAGUGCCGUCGAAUAGGGUGGCACCUUGACGGUACCUAACCAGAAAGCCACGGCUAACUACGUGCCAGCAGCCGCGGUAAUACGUAGGUGGCAAGCGUUGUCCGGAAUUAUUGGGCGUAAAGCGCGCGCAGGUGGUUUCUUAAGUCUGAUGUGAAAGCCCACGGCUCAACCGUGGAGGGUCAUUGGAAACUGGGGAACUUGAGUGCAGAAGAGGAAAGUGGAAUUCCAAGUGUAGCGGUGAAAUGCGUAGAUAUUUGGAGGAACACCAGUGGCGAAGGCGACUUUCUGGUCUGUAACUGACACUGAGGCGCGAAAGCGUGGGGAGCAAACAGGAUUAGAUACCCUGGUAGUCCACGCCGUAAACGAUGAGUGCUAAGUGUUAGAGGGUUUCCGCCCUUUAGUGCUGCAGCUAACGCAUUAAGCACUCCGCCUGGGGAGUACGGUCGCAAGACUG
rnacentral:rRNA from 1 species